rnacentral:misc_RNA from 1 species
GAUGAAGAACGUAGCAAAAUGCGAUAAGUAAUGUGAAUUGCAGAAUUCAGUGAAUCAUCGAAUCUUUGAACGCACAUUGCGCCCGCCAGUAUUCUGGCGGGCAUGCCUGUUCGAGCGUCAUUUCAACCCUCAAGCACAGCUUGGUGUUGGGACUCGCGUUAAUUCGCGUUCCCCAAAUUGAUUGGCGGUCACGUCGAGCUUCCAUAGCGUAGUAGUAAAACCCUCGUUACUGGUAAUCGUCGCGGCCACGCCGUUAAACCCCAACUUCUGAAUGUUGACCUCGGAUCAGGUAGGAAUACCCGCUGAACUUAAGCAUCUCAAUAAGCGGAGGA